AUCGCUUCUCGGCCUUUUGGCUAAGAUCAAGUGUAGUAUAUUAUUUUGAAGUUUUUUUUUUAAAAAAAAACCUCA
ensembl:snRNA U2 U2 spliceosomal RNA